rnacentral:rRNA from 1 species
ACUCCUACGGGAGGCAGCAGUGGGGAAUAUUGCACAAUGGGCGGCAAAGCCUGAUGCAGCCAUGCCGCGUGUGUGAAGAAGGCCUUCGGGUUGUAAAAGCACUUUUCAGUCGUGAGGAAGGUAGUGUAGUUAAUAGCUGCAUUUAUUUUGACGUUAGCGACAGAAGAAGCACCGGCUAACUCCGUGCCAGCAGCCGCGGUAAUACGGAGGGUGCGAGCGUUAAUCGGAAUUACUGGGCGUAAAGCGC